rnacentral:pre_miRNA from 1 species
AAUAAAUACAAUUUUACACUGGUUAUAUCUAAUGUUCGAUCGUUUGUUUUAUUUUAAAAAAAAUUGUGAUUAGUAUUUAUAUUGUUAUUAGAUGAUAAAACAUAAAUAAUGCUUUACGUGUGACUAUUUUUAAAUUCUUUUAUAAUUUUUUAAAUAAGAUGAACGGUUAAACGUUGGAUACGGAUUCUCACGGCUGCAUUUAUU